GAUGAACGCUAGCGGCAGGCUUAAUACAUGCAAGUCGAGGGGCAGCAUGACUGUAGCAAUACAGUUGAUGGCGACCGGCAAACGGGUGCGGAACACGUACAGAACCUUCCUUCGAGCGGGGAAUAGCCCAGAGAAAUUUGGAUUAAUACCCCAUAGUACAUUGGAGUGGCAUCACUUUAAUGUUAAAGAUUUAUCACUUGAAGAUGGCUGUGCGGCUGAUUAGGUAGUUGGCGGGGUAACGGCCCACCAAGCCUGCGAUCAGUAACUGGUGUGAGAGCACGACCAGUCACACGGGCACUGAGACACGGGCCCGACUCCUACGGGAGGCAGCAGUAAGGAAUAUUGGUCAAUGGACGAAAGUCUGAACCAGCCAUGCCGCGUGGAGGAUGAAGGUCCUCUGGGAUUGUAAACUUCUUUUAUAUGGGACGAAAAAAGGCUUUUCUAAGUCGUCUGACGGUACCAUAUGAAUAAGCACCGGCUAAC
rnacentral:rRNA from 1 species